GAUGAACGCUGGCGGCGUGCCUAAUACAUGCAAGUCGAGCGAACAGACGAGGAGCUUGCUCCUUUGACGUUAGCGGCGGACGGGUGAGUAACACGUAGAUAACCUACCUAUAAGACUGGGAUAACUUCGGGAAACCGGAGCUAAUACCGGAUAAUAUUUCGAACCGCAUGGUUCAAUAGUGAAAGACGGUUUUGCUGUCACUUAUAGAUGGAUCCGCGCCGCAUUAGCUAGUUGGUAAGGUAACGGCUUACCAAGGCAACGAUCCGUAGCCGACCUGAGAGGGUGAUCGGCCACACUGGAACUGAGACACGGUCCAGACUCCUACGGGAGGCAGCAGUAGGGAAUCUUCCGCAAUGGGCGAAAGCCUGACGGAGCAACGCCGCGUGAGUGAUGAAGGUCUUCGGAUCGUAAAACUCUGUUAUUAGGGAAGAACAAACGUGUAAGUAACUGUGCACGUCUUGACGGUACCUAAUCAGAAAGCCACGGCUAACUACGUG
rnacentral:rRNA from 1 species